AUUGAACGCUGGCGGCAGGCCUAACACAUGCAAGUCGAGCGGAUGAAGGGAGCUUGCUCCUGGAUUCAGCGGCGGGCGGGUGAGUAAUGCCUAGGAAUCUGCCUGGUAGUGGGGGAUAACGUCCGGAAACGGGCGCUAAUACCGCAUACGUCCUGAGGGAGAAAGUGGGGGAUCUUCGGACCUCACGCUAUCAGAUGAGCCUAGGUCGGAUUAGCUAGUUGGUGGGGUAAAGGCCUACCAAGGCGACGUUCCGUAACUGGUCUGAGAGGAUGAUCAGUCACACUGGAACUGAGACACGGUCCAGACUCCUACGGGAGGCAGCAGUGGGGAAUAUUGGACAAUGGGCGAAAGCCUGAUCCAGCCAUGCCGCGUGUGUGAAGAAGGUCUUCGGAUUGUAAAGCACUUUAAGUUGGGAGGAAGGGCAGUAAGUUAAUACCUUGCUGUUUUGACGUUACCAACAGAAUAAGCACCGGCUAACUUCGUG
rnacentral:rRNA from 1 species